GGGUCUAAUACUGGAUAUGACCUUCUGGCGCAUGCCAUGUUGGUGGAAAGCUUUAUUGCGGUUUUGGAUGGACUCGCGGCCUAUCAGCUUGUUGGUGGGGUAAUGGCCUACCAAGGCGACGACGGGUAGCCGGCCUGAGAGGGUGGACGGCCACACUGGGACUGAGACACGGCCCAAACUCCUACGGGAGGCAGCAGUGGGGAAUAUUGCACAAUGGGCGCAAGCCUGAUGCACCGACGCCGCGUGGGGGAUGAAGGCCUUCGGGUUGUAAACCUCUUUCAGUAGGGAAGAAGCGAAAGUGACGGUACCUGCAGAAGAAGCGCCGGCUAACUACGUGCCAGCAGCCGCGGUAAUACGUAGGGCGCAAGCGUUAUCCGGAAUUAUUGGGCGUAAAGAGCUCGUAGGCGGUUUGUCGCGUCUGCCGUGAAAGUCCGGGGCUUAACCCCGGAUCUGCGGUGGGUACGGGCAGACUAGAGUGAUGUAGGGGAGACUGGAAUUCCUGGUGUAGCGGUGAAAUGCGCAGAUAUCAGGAGGAACACCGAUGGCGAAGGCAGGUCUCUGGGCAUUAACUGACGCUGAGGAGCGAAAGCAUGGGGAGCGAACAGGAUUAGAUACCCUGGUAGUCCAUGCCGUAAACGUUGGGCACUAGGUGUGGGGGACAUUCCACGUUUUCCGCGCCGUAGCUAACGCAUUAAGUGCCCCGCCUGGGGAGUACGGCCGCAAGGCUAAAACUCAAAGGAAUUGACGGGGGCCCGCACAAGCGGCGGAGCAUGCGGAUUAAUCCGAUGCAACGCGAAGAACCUUACCAAGGCUUGACAUGAACUGGAACAGCGCAGAGAUGUGUUGGCCGCUUGCGGCCGGUUUACAAGUGGUGCAUGGUUGUCGUCAGCUCGUGUC
rnacentral:rRNA from 1 species